UAGACCCAGCCCGGAAGGCUCACAGCCCUGAGAACCCUUGGGGGCUUCCAGAGGCAGACCCCAGCCCUGCGUGGAGAGGGGAUGCCCAGAACACCCGACCACGGCACAUCCCCCGCCCAUUAGCCAUUUCGGAAACGUCCGAUGGGGAUCAAAACACAUCCAGCCUUUCCCGCGACCACGAGGACGUGCAGGAUUUCUUCCGCUUUCCUGAUACCCCGCACCCAGCCAGACGGACAUCCCUUUUGCGAUCCGCCAGUGGCAGGGAACGGAAUUCCAGGGACUCUAUGCAGAGAAGCAAUCUUGGAAGCUUCUUGGGUGGACCGCCACCUCCUCACUGGCACGCAUGGUGCCAAAGGGAGCCUGCGCAGGUGGCCGCUGGCCCCUCAGACACGACAGCUACGCCUGGUCCCCGGGCACGGAAAUGAACUUGUGUCGGGUUUUGCAGAAUCCAGGUUUGCAGCGACAUGAACUCCGAUGAUGGUGCGUGAGAGGGAAUGGCCAAUUCUACGGGAACUGUUGCUUUUCUUCAGAGUGGGAGAGAAUCCCAACAGCCCCCACGCUGUCGGCAGGGAGUCCAAUGCGGGGCUUGAAUCCAUGAACUGUGAGAUCGUGACCUGAGCUGAAGUUGAGUCAGACGCUUAACUGAGACCCAAGGCGACCCUGCAGCUAAGUAUUUCUAAAUCUGCGUAGGUAUGAAAUUAUUAGCUUAAAAGCAGACACAUUUUGUUAAAAAUCUGUUAAAUACACAAGAAAAUAGCAGAAUAUGUAUUGCUUUUUGGGCAUAAAGAGCUCAAGAUAAAAACACUUCCGGUGGACAAUGAUAACUACAUCAGUCACGCUAAGGCUGAGGGCGUGUCCACACGGGCGAUCCAGAUUGGGCGGGGGAGUCUCUGGGAAGCCACACAGAAGGUCAAGGAGACGGGGGAGAGUCACUUGAAGACACUGAAGUGUGUGGUGACCUCCUUCAUCUGUAGAAAGAACUCCGCAAACGUGAGCCGGGCAGGACAUGUGUGUGUGUGGCCGUCACCGAGCCCUACGGGGCCACAGAAUUCCCGGUCAUGUUUUCAGAGCAGGUGUUCCGCCUAAACCAAGUUCAAGAAGUCAACUGUAGAGGCUGUGUGGGUGACGACUACACGGUCAAGUGGGUCACACUCUUUCUAGGAAGAUGUUUCAGAAACUGUGAUGAAGCAGAUUCUGAACACGCCAGACGCGCACG